CUCUUUGGUAGCAAGCAAAGUGAAAUCAUUACCUACUUCGGAGCCGUUCUAAACUCAGUAAACCUUAGGUAUGACACCAUCGAAGACCCGAGAGUCACUGUAAAGAUUACUGGCUUCACUUUCAAUGACAUUGUCGAGGAAGAGAAGUAUAUUGCAACUUUUGGCCGAUACGGGGAAGAAUUUCAGAAGUAUGUCGAUAUGAAAACCACUUUGGACAACUUCAGGGAUACUUAUCGCACGAAGCAGUCUACUCUCUUUGCGAAAGUGGAUG